CCAGGGGCCUCGAGGGCUCGAAUACAAGUGCUCGAUCAUAGACGAGUCAGCGGAAGCAACAAUAUCUGAGUACAGACAUAAGUUAAACAAGUUUGCCUUAAGAAGGCUAGAACAAAAGUAGCAACGAUCGAAGAGGCAAGGCCUCCUGCCUGGGACAUCCUAACUACUCCUCGAAGCCGAACUCCAUGUAGAAUCAUCCUCGGGAUCUCUAGCUCCUGGACUCCAGCAUCUGGUUGCGACAACCAAGUAUAGAAAUGGGAAAAGAGGGAGAAAAGCAACCGUGAGUACUCAUCCAAAGUACUCGCAAGCAAGGAGCUACACACUACGUAUGCAUGGGUAUAUGUGUAAAGGGCCAUAUCGGUGGACUAAACUGCAGAAUGCCAGAAUAAGAGGGGGAUAGCUAAUCCUGUCGAAGACUAUGCUUCUAGCCACCUCCAUCUUGCAGCAUGUAGAAGAGAGUAGAUUGAAGUCCUCCAAGUAGCAUCGUAUAGCAUAAUCCUACCCGGCGAUCCCCUCCUCAUCGCCCUGUUAGAGAGCGAUCACCGGGUUGUAUCUGGCACUUGGAAGGGUGUGUUUUAUUAAGUAUCCAGUUCUAGUUGUUAUAAGGUCAAGGUACAACUCCGGGUCGUCCUUUUACCGAGGGACACGACUAUUCGAAUAGAUAAACUUCCCUGCAGGGGUGCACCACAUAACCCAACACGCUCGAUCCCAUUUGGCCGGACACACUUUUCUGGGUCAUGCCCGGCCUCGGAAGAUCAACACGUCGCAGCCCCACCUAGGCACAAUAGAGAGGUCAGCACGCCGGUGUAAAUCCUAUGGCGCAGGGGUCUGGGCCCAUCGCCCAUUGCACACCUGCACGUUGCGAACGCGGCCGAAAGCAGACCUAGCCUAGUAGGCGUUCCAGUCCAAUCUGGCGCGCGCCACUCAGUCGCUGACGUCACGAAGGCUUCGGCUGAUACCACGACGUCGAGUGCCCAUAACUGUUCCCGCGUAGUUGGUUAGUGUGUAUAGACCAAAUGGCCAGACUCAGAUCAAAUACCAAGAUCUCGUUAAGCAUGUUAAGUAUCCGCGAACGCUGACCAGGGCCAGGCCCACCUCUCUGCUAGGUGGUCUCAACCUGCCCUGUCGCUCUGCCACAAAGUAACAGUCGAGGGCCGUCAAGAACCCAGGCCCACCUCUACCGGGAUGGAGCCACCUGUCCUUUCAGCCCCCUCAUCAGAAUCACUUGCGGGUACUAAACGAGCCGACCCGACUUUAGUCACCACAUGUGUCAUGUAUAUAAAGUAUAUAGUAUAUAACCGUGAUCACCUCCCGAAGUGAUCACGGCCCAGUAGUAUAGCAUGGCAGACAGACAAGAGUGUAGGGCCACUAAUGGAACACUAGCAUCCUAUACUAAGCAGUAGGAUAGCAGGUAAGGGUAACAACUGUAGCAACAAUGACAGGCUAUGCAACAGAAUAGGAUUGACCGAAAUCAGUAACAUGCUACACUACUCUAAUGCAAGCAGUAUAGAGAAGAAUAGGCGAUAUCUGGUGAUCAAGGGGGGGCUUGCCUGGUUGCUCUGGCAAGGAGGGAUCGUCAACACCGUAGUCGAACUGGGGGUCGCCGGCAGUCUCUGGGUCUACCGGAAAGAAGUAACUGAGGGGAAACACAAUAAAUAAUAGAGCAAUCAAAGCCUCACAAAGCGUAACAUGGCAAUACGCAGUCUAGAGGUGACCUAACGCUGUAAUAGGUGAUACUGGUGAAGUGUGGAAAACAUCCGGGAAAGAAUCCCCGGUGUUUCGCGUUUUCGGACAAAUGAAUCAGAGAGGAAAGUUGCGUGUUUGCUAUGCUAGGGAUGUGUGGCGAACAAACGGGCUGUGUAUUCGGAUUCGUCUCGUCGUUCUGAGCAACUUUCAUAUAGAAAACAUUUUCAUCUGAGCUACGGUUUAUUUUAUAUUAAUUUUCCAAAGUUUUUAAAUGAUUUUCUAAUUUUCUGGAAUUGUUUUAAAUUCGAAUAUUAAAUUCUAAAGUGCAGUCAACCCAGCCAACCUAGUCAACUUUUGACUAGUCAAUAGGACAAUGUGGCCCACAUGUCAUUGUCACAUAAAUUAACUAGUGUCUAGAUUAAAAUGAGACCACGUGCCAUUGCUUUAUAUUAAACUAAACUAGCACUAGGGUUAGUUCUAAACUAAUCCUAUUCUAACUAAACCCCACACACACACUUACGCACACACACCUAGCGCACAUCAACCACGGCCAUGGCCUUGACCAUGGCCAGCCGCAAGAACAUGCUGCAGCAGGCAACGGCACUACGCAGCGGCACUACGGGAGCAGCAAUACGCAGCGGCGGCCACAAAGGGCAGCAGCAAGCAACACGGAGCAGUAUAGAGCAGCAGCAGUAAGUAGCAGUGGGCAGCGGGCAGAGCAACGCAGCAGAGUAUCAGCAGCAGGUAGCCAGCGGCAGUAGAUCAUCAGCAGCGGCACGUACGCGGGAGGGAGGCGCCAAUAGGGCGGCCAGGAGCAGCCGCGGUGGCGCGGGCGACGACGGGCGCGUCGGGGCGCGGCCACGAGCGGGCGCGCACGCACGGGGGCGUAGCCGGGUGAGGGUCGUUUCGGUCAGGGCGCAGGCACGGAGCUAGCUUCGGCCAUGGCGGGCGGCGGCUACGGCAACAAGCGGGAGACAUGCUAGGGGAUACAGAGGAGAGGGGAAAGAGGUCAUAGAGGACCGGGAGCUCACAGUGAAGCUCGAGGCGGGCUCGUGAAGGCCGGAGAGGCUCGGGUGGAGCGGAUCGACGAGGGGCAGUGGCGAUAUCCGACGAAGGGGAUCGAUGCGGACGGCGUCACCGGUGCACCUCGGCCUUGAUCCAGUGGCGCAGGAGACAAGACGAGGAUGACGGAGCUCCUGGACAUGCUCCCACGGGUUGGCGACGACGGUGGCCGUGGUAACGACGGUGAGGCAGCGGUGACCGCGAGUUGUUUGAGCUCAAAUUCAAGCGGAAGAGGAGGGGGACGACGGGGGAUCCAGG
rnacentral:lncRNA from 1 species